CUGAUACAAUGAUGACUGCAUAGUUCAGCAGAUUAACCAUGAAGAACUACCAGCAUUGUCUUUCGCUCCUAUCUGAUGUAUCCA
ensembl:snoRNA